rnacentral:rRNA from 1 species
CCCUUGUGCCAGCAGCCGCGGUAAUUCCAGCUCCAAUAGCGUAUAUUAAAGUUGUUGUGGUUAAAAAGCUCGUAGUUGGAUCUCAACAGCCUUGAAGCGGUUAACUUUGUAGUUUUACUGCUUUAUAGGCUGUGCUUUUGCUGGAGGUUUAGGGGUGCUCUUGAUCGAGUGUCUCUGGAUGCCAGCAGGUUUACUUUGAAAAAAUUAGAGUGCUCAAAGCAGGCUAAAAUGCCUGAAUAUUCGUGCAUGGAAUAAUAGAAUAGGAUGUCGAUCCUAUUUUGUUGGUUUUCGGGACUCGACAUAAUGAUAAAUAGGGACAGUCGGGGGCAUUUGUAUUCAAACGACAGAGGUGAAAUUCUUGGACCGUUUGAAGACAAACUACUGCGAAAGCAUUUGCCAAGAAUGUUUUCAUUAAUCAAGAACGAAAGUUAGAGGUUCGAAGGCGAUUAGAUACCGCCCUAGUUCUAACCAUAAACGAUGCCAGCUAGCGAUCUGCCUGCGUUUUUUUUGUAGACUGGGCAGGAAGCUUCCGGGAAACCAAAGCAUUUGGGUUCCAGGGGAAGUAUGGUUGCAAAGCUGAAACUUAAAGGAAUUGACGGAAGGGCACCACCAGGAGUGGAGCCUGUGGCUUAAUUUGACUCAACACGGGAAAUCUCACCAGGCCCGGACACUGGAAGGAUUGACAGAUUGAUAGCUCUUUCUUGAUUCGGUGGGUGGUGGUGCAUGGCCGUUCUUAGUUGGUGGAGUGAUUUGUCUGGUUAAUUCCGAUAACGAACGAGACUCUGUCCUGCUAAAUAGUGUCUGCUUCUCUUUUGAGCAGACAAUUCUUCUUAGAGGGACUGGCGACUCUUAGUCGCACGAGAUUGAGCAAUAACAGGUCUGUGAUGC